ensembl:lncRNA
CUGGCAGCUAUGUUUAGAACUUGGGAAAUAAGUCAUGAAGUCCCCAAGAAUUUCAAGGUGAUCUUCAAAAUGAUCUGAAGAAUAAUUUGGAAACUUUUAAUAUGGAAUUUGGAGGAAGAGUCUUUAGAAGUUAAUCAGGAAAGCUACUCUUGCAGGGGAGCUGGACUCAGUGAUCUCUAGAAUUCCCUUCCAACCCCUCCAAUACUGUGAUACAUAUCAGAUAUUCUACUUUUUGCAUUUGGAUACUCUCCUUUGUAAGCAACUCUGCCAGCUCUUGGGGGAUGAACCAUGUCUGCCUACUACCACUGUGCUCACCCUGCUGCAAUAGGAUGAGGAACCUACAUUUCAGCUCUCCCAUUGCGCUUCUGCAGUCAUAGACAUCUUCAUCACAUCUUCCAAAGAAGGAGAGGGAGGGAGAAGGAAGAGGACAGAAGAGAAAAAAAUAAAAGUAGACUGGAAAAGUCACUGCUGAAUUCUGUGGGAAGAAGAAAAGAAGCAAGCCAAGUAAGGUGAUAUUAAGCAAGCUUUCCCAAAGUACAUGUUUUACUACUCUGUAAUUUCAAGCCAAUUAAAGAGACCAUCAUCUGUCAUGGAGAUGAAAUAC